rnacentral:ncRNA from 1 species
AAGUUUAUGGUACUAUUAUUAGUAUAAUAGGGAAAGUGGUGAAAAUCCACUACAGCCCCCGCUACUGUAACGAAGACGAAUCUUAGCCACUGAGUUUACUUGGGAAGGCAAGAGGAGAUUGAUGCGUAAGUCAGGAGACCUGCCAUAAACUAC